UGGGGAAUUUUGGACAAUGGGCGAAAGCCUGAUCCAGCAAUGCCGCGUGUGUGAAGAAGGCCUUCGGGUUGUAAAGCACUUUUGUCCGGAAAGAAAUCCUUGGCUCUAAUACAGUCGGGGGAUGACGGUACCGGAAGAAUAAGCACCGGCUAACUACGUGCCAGCAGCCGCGGUAAUACGUAGGGUGCAAGCGUUAAUCGGAAUUACUGGGCGUAAAGCGUGCGCAGGCGGUUUGCUAAGACCGAUGUGAAAUCCCCGGGCUCAACCUGGGAACUGCAUUGGUGACUGGCAGGCUAGAGUAUGGCAGAGGGGGGUAGAAUUCCACGUGUAGCAGUGAAAUGCGUAGAGAUGUGGAGGAAUACCGAUGGCGAAGGCAGCCCCCUGGGCCAAUACUGAGCGCUCAUGCACGAAAGCGUGGGGAGCAAACAGGAUUAGAUACCCUGGUAGUCCACGCCCUAAACGAUGUCAACUAGUUGUUGGGGAUUCAUUUCCUUAGUAACGUAGCUAACGCGUGAAGUUGACCGCCUGGGGAGUACGGUCGCAAGAUUAAAACUCAAAGGAAUUGACGGGGUCAUAGCUG
rnacentral:rRNA from 1 species